rnacentral:rRNA from 1 species
UACGGAGGGGGCUAGCGUUGUUCGGAAUUACUGGGGCGUAAAGCGCGCGUAGGCGGCUUUGUAAGUUAGAGGUGAAAGCCCGGAGCUUAACUCCGGAACUGCCUUUAAGACUGCAUCGCUAGAAUCGUGGAGAGGUGAGUGGGAAUUCCGAGUGUAGAGGUGAAAUUCGUAGAUAUUCGGAAGAACACCAGUGGCGAAGGCGACUCACUGGACACGUAUUGACGCUGAGGUGCGAAAGCGUGGGGAGCAAACAGGG